AUGUAUAUAUGAAUCUACAAUAUGUUUCUAAUAGAAGUAAAUUUUCAUUAACAAGAAGAGAAGGAUGUUACAUGAGGAAGAGAACAUGAGAGGUUUUCAUGAUUGAGGCAUUGGUUUUCAUUAUUAGUUUGAAUGCUUAUAUAGUCUUCUUAUUUUCUUGGUUAUAUAGUCUUCUUGUUUUCUUGGUUUUAUUGGUUUUCAUGAUUAGUUUGAAUGGGGUGUAUUCAAUAAAAAUUGUUAGUUGCGCUCACUAUGUUAACUCUCUGCAGGCAAAACAGAAAGAAAUAGCCGAGUCUGAGAAGGAAGUAUCUAAUCGAAUCAGGAAUCUGUACAAGAAAGAAUAUGCAAAAAAACAGAGUAGGCAAGUACGGCUGUGCACUAAAACUCCACCUUCGAGUA